GAUAAACGCUGGCGGCGUGCAUGAGACAUGCAAGUCGAACGAAGGAUCGGGCUUGCUCGAUCCUUAGUGGCGGACGGCUGAGUAACGCGUAGGUGACCUACCCCGAAGUGGGGAAUAACUGCCCGAAAGGGUGGCUAAUACCGCAUGUGGUCGCACGUUCAUUCGUGCGAGUAAAGCCGCAAGGCGCUUCGGGAGGGGCCUGCGUCCGAUUAGCUCGUUGGUGGGGUAAUGGCUUACCAAGGCGACGAUCGGUAGGUGGUCUGAGAGGACGAUCACCCAGACUGGGACUGAGACACGGCCCAGACUCCUACGGGAGGCAGCAGUCGGGAAUUUUGCUCAAUGGGGGAAACCCUGAAGCAGCAACGCCGCGUGAGGGAUGAAGGCCUUCGGGUUGUAAACCUCUUUUGUCAGGGACGAUGAUGACGGUACCUGGCGAAUAAACCACGGCUAACUACGU
rnacentral:rRNA from 1 species